rnacentral:rRNA from 1 species
UACGGAGGGUGCAAGCGUUAUCCGGAUUCACUGGGUUUAAAGGGUGCGUAGGUGGAUUAGUAAGUCAGUGGUGAAAUCUCCGGGCUUAACCCGGAAACUGCCAUUGAUACUAUUAGUCCUGAAUACCGUGGAGGUCAGCGGAAUAUGUCAUGUAGCGGCGAAAUGCUUAGAUAUGACAUAGAACACCAAUUGCGAAGGCAGCUGGCUACACGAGCAUUGACACUCAGGCACGAAAGCGUGGGGAUCAAACAGG